rnacentral:rRNA from 1 species
UUUGGUUUGGCGGGGUGCCUUAAUACAUGCAAGUCGAGCGAAUGGAUUAAGAGCUUGCUCUUAUGAAGUUAGCGGCGGACGGGUGAGUAACACGUGGGUAACCUGCCCAUAAGACUGGGAUAACUCCGGGAAACCGGGGCUAAUACCGGAUAACAUUUUGCACCGCAUGGUGCGAAAUUGAAAGGCGGCUUCGGCUGUCACUUAUGGAUGGACCCGCGUCGCAUUAGCUAGUUGGUGAGGUAACGGCUCACCAAGGCAACGAUGCGUAGCCGACCUGAGAGGGUGAUCGGCCACACUGGGACUGAGACACGGCCCAGACUCCUACGGGAGGCAGCAGUAGGGAAUCUUCCGCAAUGGACGAAAGUCUGACGGAGCAACGCCGCGUGAGUGAUGAAGGCUUUCGGGUCGUAAAACUCUGUUGUUAGGGAAGAACAAGUGCUAGUUGAAUAAGCUGGCACCUUGACGGUACCUAACCAGAAAGCCACGGCUAACUACGUGCCAGCAGCCGCGGUAAU